rnacentral:tRNA from 1 species
GCUUAGCUGAACUCGAACGGUUUCGAGGACAGGCUUCAAACCUGUUGACCAUUCAGUUGGUAGGAGUUCGACUCUCCCUGCUGAGC